GUGCUCAUUUCAGCAGCAUAUAUAUGAAAAUUGGAAUAAUACAGAGAAGAUUAGCAUGGCCCCUGCAUGAGGAUGGCAUGCAAAUUCAUGGGGCAUUCCAUAUUUUU
ensembl:snRNA U6 U6 spliceosomal RNA